AUUCCAGCUCCAAUAGCGUAUAUUUAAGUUGUUGCAGUUAAAAAGCUCGUAGUUGGAUUUCGGGUGUCAUCUGCCGGUCCGCCGUUUCGGUGUGCACUGGCGGGCGUCAUCUUUCUGUCGAGGACGCGCUCCUGUCCUUUAUUGGUCGGGACGCGGAGUCGGCGAGGUUACUUUGAAAAAAUUAGAGUGUUCAAAGCGGGCUUACGCUUGAAUAUAUUAGCAUGGAAUAACACUAUAGGACUCCUGUUCUAUUUUGUUGGUCUUCGGGACGGGAGUAAUGAUUAAUAGGGACAGUCGGGGGCAUUUGUAUUCAAACGACAGAGGUGAAAUUCUUGGACCGUUUGAAGACAAACUACCGCGAAAGCAUUUGCCAAGAAUGUUUUCAUCA
rnacentral:rRNA from 1 species